UGACCCUUCUUAAGCCGAGGGUCACCUAGCCAACUGACGUUGUUAGUGAAUACAAAUUGUUCACACCAUAUGUAAGCCAUCUAUGAACUUGUAGGUGGCUAUUUUUUU
rfam:Vibrio caribbeanicus ATCC BAA-2122 VIBC2010_100, whole genome shotgun sequence.